rnacentral:rRNA from 1 species
UGCCAGCAGCCGCGGUAAUUCCAGCUCCAAUAGCGUAUACUAAAGUUGUUGCGGUUAAAAAGCUCGUAGUUGGAUCUUGGAAUGUGUUCAAGCGGGUCAGCUUCUGGCUGUGCGCUGCUUGACGUGUUCUUCUAUUUGGUUUUGGUGCGGUGCGCUUAACUGCGUGUCGCUCCCGGCCGAAACGUUUACCUUGAAAAAAUUAGAGUGUUCAAAGCAGACCUGUUUGAGUCUGAAUAUUCGUGCAUGGAAUAAUGAAAUAUGAAUUCGGUUCUAUUUUGUUGGUUUUCGGAACUCGAGUUAAUGAUCAAGAGGGACAGACGGGGGCAUCCGUACUCUGCCGUUAGAGGUGAAAUUCUUGGAUCGGCGGAAGACGCGCAACUGCGAAAGCAUUUGCCAAGAAUGUUUUCUUUAAUCAAGAACGAUAGUCGGAGGUUCGAAGACGAUCAGAUACCGUCCUAGUUUCGACUGUAAACUAUGCCAGCUAACGAUCAGACAGAGUUCUCUACGACUUGUCUGGCAGUUUCCGGGAAACCAAAGCGUUUGGGUUCCGGGGGAAGUAUGGUUGCAAAGCUGAAACUUAAAGGAAUUGACGGAAGGGCACCACCAGGAGUGGAGCCUGCGGCUUAAUUUGACUCAACACGGGGAAACUCACCCGGCCCGGACACAGUGAGGAUUGACAGAUUGAGAGUUCUUUCUUGAUUCUGUGGGUGGUGGUGCAUGGCCGUUCUUAGUUGGUGGAGCGAUUUGUCUGGUUAAUUCCGAUAACGAACGAGACUCUGGCAUGUUAAAUAGUCGCGGAAGUGCGUAUGCACUUGCCGAAUUGACUUCUUAGAGGGACUAGUGAUUUUAAUUCACACGAGAUUGAGCAAUAACAGGUCUGUGAUG